GACGAACGCUGGCGGCGUGCUUAACACAUGCAAGUCGAACGGAAAGGCCCUGCUUUUGUGGGGUGCUCGAGUGGCGAACGGGUGAGUAACACGUGAGUAACCUGCCCUUGACUUUGGGAUAACUUCAGGAAACUGGGGCUAAUACCGGAUAGGAGCUCCUGCUGCAUGGUGGGGGUUGGAAAGUUUCGGCGGUUGGGGAUGGACUCGCGGCUUAUCAGCUUGUUGGUGGGGUAGUGGCUUACCAGGCUUUGACGGGUAGCCGGCCUGAGAGGGUGACCGGCCACAUUGGGACUGAGAUACGGCCCAGACUCCUACGGGAGGCAGCAGUGGGGAAUAUUGCACAAUGGGCGGAAGCCUGAUGCAGCAACGCCGCGUGCGGGAUGACGGCCUUCGGGUGGUAAACCGCUUUCGCCUGUGACGAAGCGUGAGUGACGGUAAUGGGUAAAGAAGCACCGGCUAACUACGU
rnacentral:rRNA from 1 species